UACGGGGGGGGGCAAGCGUUUGUUCGGAAUUACUGGGCGUAAAGGGCGCGUAGGCGGCCUAUUAAGUCGGACGUGAAAUCCCUCGGCUCAACCGAGGAACUGCGUCCGAUACUGGCAGGCUGGAAUCCGGGAGAGGGAUGUGGAAUUCCAGGUGUAGCGGUGAAAUGCGUAGAUAUCUGGAGGAACACCGGUGGCGAAGGCGGCAUCCUGGACCGGUAUUGACGCUGAGGCGCGAAAGCUAGGGGAGCAAACGGG
rnacentral:rRNA from 1 species